rnacentral:rRNA from 1 species
GAUCAUGGCUCAGGACGAACGCUGGCGGCGUGCCUAAUACAUGCAAGUAGAACGCUGAAGGAGGGAGCUUGCUUCUUCUGGAUGAGUUGCGAACGGGUGAGUAACGCGUAGGUAACCUGCCUGAUAGCGGGGGAUAACUAUUGGAAACGAUAGCUAAUACCGCAUAAGAGGUAAUAACACAUGUUAUUAGUUUAAAAGGGGCAAUUGCUCCACUAUCAGAUGGACCUGCGUUGUAUUAGCUAGUUGGUAAGGUAACGGCUUACCAAGGCGACGAUACAUAGCCGACCUGAGAGGGUGAUCGGCCACACUGGGACUGAGACACGGCCCAGACUCCUACGGGAGGCAGCAGUAGGGAAUCUUCGGCAAUGGGGGCAACCCUGACCGAGCAACGCCGCGUGAGUGAAGAAGGUUUUCGGAUCGUAAAGCUCUGUUGUAAGAGAAGAACGGAUGUGGGAGUGGAAAAUCCAUGUCGUGACGGUAUCUUACCAGAAAGGGACGGCUAACUACGUGCCAGCAGCCGCGGUAAUACGUAGGUCCCGAGCGUUGUCCGGAUUUAUUGGGCGUAAAGCGAGCGCAGGCGGUUUCAUAAGUCUGAAGUUAAAGGCAGUGGCUUAACCAUUGUACGCUUUGGAAACUGUGAGACUUGAGUGCAGAAGGGGAGAGUGGAAUUCCAUGUGUAGCGGUGAAAUGCGUAGAUAUAUGGAGGAACACCGGUGGCGAAAGCGGCUCUCUGGUCUGUAACUGACGCUGAGGCUCGAAGGCGUGGGGAGCAAACAGGAUUAGAUACCCUGGUAGUCCACGCCGUAAACGAUGAGUGCUAGGUGUUGGGUCCUUUCCGGGACUCAGUGCCGCAGCUAACGCAUUAAGCACUCCGCCUGGGGAGUACGACCGCAAGGUUGAAACUCAAAGGAAUUGACGGGGGCCCGCACAAGCGGUGGAGCAUGUGGUUUAAUUCGAAGCAACGCGAAGAACCUUACCAGGUCUUGACAUCCCGAUGCCCGCUCUAGAGAUAGAGUUUUUCUUCGGAACAUCGGUGACAGGUGGUGCAUGGUUGUCGUCAGCUCGUGUCGUGAGAUGUUGGGUUAAGUCCCGCAACGAGCGCAACCCUUAUUGUUAGUUGCCAUCAUUCAGUUGGGCACUCUAGCGAGACUGCCGGUAAUAAACCGGAGGAAGGUGGGGAUGACGUCAAAUCAUCAUGCCCCUUAUGACCUGGGCUACACACGUGCUACAAUGGCUGGUACAACGAGUCGCAAGUCGGUGACGGCAAGCUAAUCUCUUAAAGCCAGUCUCAGUUCGGAUUGUAGGCUGCAACUCGCCUACAUGAAGUCGGAAUCGCUAGUAAUCGCGGAUCAGCACGCCGCGGUGAAUACGUUCCCGGGCCUUGUACACACCGCCCGUCACACCACGAGAGUUUGUAACACCCGAAGUCGGUGAGGUAACCUUUUAGGAGCCAGCCGCCUAA